UUCAUGUCCGUACGCUACUCUUGUUUAUUGUAUUAUUAAACUCACCACUUGCUUCCUGACUGCCAGGGUCUACAUUACAGAAUCCCGCCUCAACAAAUGGAAGCAACAGGCAUACCUACUUCCUCAACACCACAACCAGCUGGUACAACUGGGGGAGGCUUUGAAAGAGGUUCUUCACAUUCUUCAACGUCUCGAACAUACCCGAGAGGCGUUGCCUUCAACUAGCGAUACUAUGCCUCCAGCCGACCCAGCGAGCCAGCACACCAGUUCAGUCAGCAGUCCGCCCAGAUGGGAGCCCCGACUAACUGAGAGGUCCAAGGUUGCCACGGUUAUUUCUCUGCCGACUGGGUGGGCGUUGGUGUGGGCCACGGCCGUCUGGGAGAGAGGAGGAGCUGGAUUCAUAUGAGGGGUUCAUGGCUCUGUUCAGAGGUGUCUUCAAUCAUCCACCGGAGGGCAAAGAGGAGGGUGAGCACCUAUUCCAACUACGGCAGGAUGACCAGAUCGCUGCCAAGGACUCGCUCACCUUCCGGACUAUAGCAGCAUCCAGCGGAUGGAUUGAGCUGACACGCCGUACGCUAUUCAGAAGAGGACUGCGCGAGGAAGUCCAGACGAAACUGGCAUGUCGAGACGCUAUGCAGAAAUAUUCUCAGGAAUAAAAGAGUGAUCAAAUUAAAAUCCUACAUCUUGUCA